rnacentral:rRNA from 1 species
UACGGAGGGUGCAAGCGUUGUUCGGAAUUACUGGGCGUAAAGCGCACGUAGGCGGGCGGAUAAGUCAGAUGUGAAAGCCCCGGGCUUAACCUGGGAAUUGCAUUUGAAACUGUAUGUCUUGAAUGCUUGAGAGGAUGACGGAAUUCCUGGUGUAGAAGUGAAAUUCGUAGAUAUCAGGAGGAACACCGGAGGCGAAGGCGGUUGUCUGGCGAUGCAUUGACGCUGAGGUGCGAAAGCGUGGGGAGCAAACAGG